rnacentral:rRNA from 1 species
AUUGAACGCUGGCGGCAGGCCUAACACAUGCAAGUCGAGCGAGUGGCGGACGGGUGAGUAAUGUCUGGGAAUCUGCCUGAUGGAGGGGGAUAACUACUGGAAACGGUGGCUAAUACCGCAUACCAUCAGAUGUACCCAGAUGGGAUUAGCUAGUAGGUGGGGUAAUGGCUCACCUAGGCGACGAUCGCUAGCUGGUCUGAGAGGAUGACCAGCCACACUGGAACUGAGACACGGCCCAGACUCCUACGGGAGGCAGCAGUGGGGAAUAUUGCACAAUGGGCGCAAGCCUGAUGCAGCCAUGCCGCGUGUGUGAAGAAGGCCUUCGGGUUGUAAAGUACUUUCAGCGGGGAGGCGUUACCCGCAGAAGAAGCACCGGCUAACUCCGUGCCAGCAGCCGCGGUAAUUC